CCUACGGGAGGCAGCAGUGAGGAAUAUUGGUCAAUGGGCUUACGCCUGAACCAGCCAAGUCGCGUGAGGGAAGACUGCCCUAUGGGUUGUAAACCUCUUUUGUCAGGGAGCAACGCCGGCUACGUGUAGCCGGACUGAGAGUACCUGAAGAAAAAGCAUCGGCUAACUCCGUGACAGCAGCCGCGGUAAUACGGUGGAUGCGAGCGUUAUCCGGAUUUAUUGGGAUAAAAGGGUGCGUAGGCGGAAUGCCAAGUCAGCGGUAAAAUCGCGGGGCUCAACCUCGCUCCGCCGUUGAAACUGGCGUUCUUGAGUGGGCGAGAAGUAUGCGGAAUGCGUGGUGUAGCGGUGAAAUGCAUAGAUAUCACGCAGAACUCCGAUUGCGAAGGCAGCAUACCGGCGCCCAACUGACGCUGAAGCACGAAAGCGUGGGUAUCGAACAGGAUUAGAUACCCCAGUAGCC
rnacentral:rRNA from 1 species